AGAUGACCAAUUGAGUAACCGGGGAUGGGUAUCACAAUUAUGCACAUUCACGUCAAAAGGUUGAUGACUUUUUCAAGCAAGAAUAAAAGUGCAUAAAAGUUGAAAAGAAAAAGUGUUAAAAAUAAAAGGGCAAGUCACUCCAAGAGCUAUAAUAGUCUAACUAAAAUAUGUGCAUGUAUAAAUAAAACUCUCACUUAAAGAAGACAACUCUCAACCAUGGUGGGUAAAAGGAAACAAGGAAAAGAAGAAAGUGAUCUUGGUGCAUGCACACUUCACUGCAAUGCUUCAAAUUAGGAGUCUAGGAUAAUAGCUUAAGUGGAAAAUAAGGAUCAAAUGGAAAAGGAAGCUUGUUUGACUAAGUUUAUUGCUUGAGGACAAGCAAGAAGUGAGGUGUGGGGGUAUUUGAUCGAAUGUAAAUUAGGCGCAUUUUUUCUAUUAUUAUUGAUUCUAAACUAUACAUUUUCUAUCUAAUUUUAUGCUUUUGAUCAUAUUUUGUAGAAAAUGAUGGAAAAUGGAAACUUGGUGAAAAAUGGCCUAAAAAUGUUGAAAAGUUGAUUUGGGCGAAGUGAUUUGGCCAAAUCAACCUCAAAGAAUGACCAAUGAGGCUACACAAGUGGAUGGAAGAAGAAGCCAAAACUCAAGUUUUGAUAUGCCAAAAUCGAUUUGCCCAAAUCACUGGCCAAAUUGCCACAAGCCAGUGAUAGCUAAAAUCCUGAAGUGUCUUGCAGAAAUAAUUGGGGCAAGUGAUUUGCCCAAAUCGACUUUCACCAGCAAAAAAGUGCAAAAAUACGGAAAUUGCAGAAAUUCGAAUUUUAAGAGUUCUACCCUAUCUCAAACACAUCAAGAUACAUCUGAAGCAUAUCAAACACUCUGCAAAAAGAAUUCCUUCACCCAAGAAAGUCUAUUUAUGAAGAAAUACUAGCAAGGAAAGAAUCAAAGACCAAGUCAAAAAGGAAUUCCAUCUCAUAAAGGACUGAUCUAGGGUUUUUCCAUCUAUAAAAAGGCAGCAACCAGUAGCAAACAUAAUCCAAUUUUUGGCAAAGCAUCCACAAUACCAC
rnacentral:lncRNA from 1 species